rnacentral:rRNA from 1 species
UACGUAGGGUGCAAGCGUUAAUCGGAAUUUCUGGGCGUAAAGCGUGCGCAGGCGGUUUUGUAAGUCUGAUGUGAAAUCCCCGGGCUCAACCUGGGAAUUGCAUUGGAGACUGCAAGGCUAGAAUCUGGCAGAGGGGGGUAGAAUUCCACGUGUAGCAGUGAAAUGCGUAGAGAUGUGGAGGAACACCGAUGGCGAAGGCAGCCCCCUGGGUCAAGAUUGACGCUCAUGCACGAAAGCGUGGGGAGCAAACAGG